UACGGAGGGGGCUAGCGUUUGUUCGGAAUUACUGGGCGUAAAGCGUACGUAGGCGGCUUUGUAAGUUAGAGGUGAAAGCCCGGAGCUCAACUCCGGAAUUGCCUUUAAGACUGCAUCGCUUGAAUCAUGGAGAGGUUAGUGGAAUUCCGAGUGUAGAGGUGAAAUUCGUAGAUAUUCGGAAGAACACCAGUGGCGAAGGCGACUAAACUGGACAUGUAUUGACGCUGAGGUACGGAAAGCGUGGGGAGCAAACAGG
rnacentral:rRNA from 1 species